UUUCAAGCUCAUUAAGCGGGGUGGUCAUAAUAAGGUAAAAAUCCAAUCAGAUAGCUUGGAAGCUGUUAAAGCCAUACAAGGAAGCAUUACCUCAAACUCAGCUUUAAUUAGACGAAUACAACGUAUUUUGUCUCAAGAAGGCAAGUGACUCUUGCGAUACAUUCUUAGAGAGCAUAACCAGGUAGCAGAUUGUUUAACAAAAUUGACUUUGGCCAAUAAAGAAGAAUUGCAGACUUUUGAUAUCCCUUCAGUAGAAACUCUAGUUCCUCUUGAAGCAGAUAAAGCAAAGUGCAUUUUUUCUUUUCAG
rnacentral:lncRNA from 1 species